UUGAAAGGGAAACGAUUGAAGUCAGUCGUACCGACGAGAAAUCAACUUAUCGUGUGCGAACUUGUGGGCGUGCGUGAGUUUCGGCCUCGCUGUUUGCAUGUUUGUGUGCUUUGGGUGUAUUUUUUCGUAUGGUAGGCCAACGUCAGUUUCGAUCAUUAUAAAAUGACUGGCGGAAUGUAGCUUCGAUUUCGGUUGAAGUGUUAUAGCCUCUGGUAGAUGUAGUGAUUGGGACUGAGGAUUGCAACGAAUAUCCUUUGGGCUAUCCGUCUGAUCUCUGAAAGUUGCUCAGGUGCCGAAAGCGUGCUUACGGUCAUCUAAGUUGACGGUCAACAGGUUAGAACGUGAUUACAUUCGUUAAGGAUGUUGACGUA
rnacentral:rRNA from 1 species